rnacentral:rRNA from 1 species
GCAGUCGAGCGAGACCUUCGGGUCUAGCGGCGGACGGGUGAGUAACGCGUGGGAACGUGCCCUUUGCUACGGAAUAGUCCCGGGAAACUGGGUUUAAUACCGUAUGUGCCCUUCGGGGGAAAGAUUUAUCGGCAAAGGAUCGGCCCGCGUUGGAUUAGGUAGUUGGUGGGGUAAUGGCCUACCAAGCCGACGAUCCAUAGCUGGUUUGAGAGGAUGAUCAGCCACACUGGGACUGAGACACGGCCCAGACUCCUACGGGAGGCAGCAGUGGGGAAUCUUAGACAAUGGGGGCAACCCUGAUCUAGCCAUGCCGCGUGAGUGAUGAAGGCCUUAGGGUUGUAAAGCUCUUUCAGCUGGGAAGAUAAUGACGGUACCAGCAGAAGAAGCCCCGGCUAACUCCGUGCCAGCAGCCGCGGUAAUACGGAGGGGGCUAGCGUUGUUCGGAAUUACUGGGCGUAAAGCGCACGUAGGCGGACUGGAAAGUUGGGGGUGAAAUCCCGGGGCUCAACCUCGGAACUGCCUUCAAAACUAUCAGUCUGGAGUUCGAGAGAGGUGAGUGGAAUACCGAGUGUAGAGGUGAAAUUCGUAGAUAUUCGGUGGAACACCAGUGGCGAAGGCGGCUCACUGGCUCGAUACUGACGCUGAGGUGCGAAAGCGUGGGGAGC